UUGGAGGAGAAGAGAAAGGUGAGGAGAGAUGAGAAGAAGUUGGUGGGGUAUUAUGACACCGAGCAUACCAAAAAUGUUAGAGAUUGGAAAGAAGUGUUUGAUUUUGUCGUGGAGAGCCCUUGUUUGAUGCCAGCUUCACCUGAACCUGAGGACAAGGAAGUUGCUGAAACGUACAGUCAAUGGCCUGAUUAUCCUCCUGAAUUAAGGUAAAGUUCAAUUCUUACAUUUUGAUGGUGAAAUUUUCGUACUUAACUAUAAUUUGAGGAGAACUCGGAUUAAAAGAGAAUUUUGAUCCUUUAAUAAUGUACAAGUCAAUUGAGCGAGAUUUUUUACUUUUUAAAGCAUCUAAUGGGCAUUUUAAUUUCGUGCUAUCGAAAUUAAUAAUCUUGAGAGCGAGAAAUAUAAAUUGGUAACCCGAAUUUUCUCAUGGUUGGAGGGUAGUCACAAACUCACAAUAUAGUCCAUAAGAGGUAUUUAUUGACAAAAUAAACAGCCAUAAGCAGAUGAGUCGUAUUAAAUACCACCAAAUAAUUUUAAUUUGUUGUCGGUCAAUUUGAAAGCUUGUAAUAGUAUUUUGGAGCCAAGCAUAUUCUGAUUAAUGCAAAAUUGAAAAUGUUGCAAUUAUAGUAUCUAUUUGUUUACUUUUGGCUUAUGCUUGACAGAGAGGCAUUUGAAGAAUAUGCUAAAGAAGUGGAAAAACUUGCUUACAAGUUGAUAGAACUCGUAGCCCUGAGCCUGGGACUACCAGCAAACAGGUUCAAUGGCUUCUUCAAAGAUCAAACCACCUUUGCUAGACUUAAUCACUACCCACCGUGCCCCGCUCCCCACCUAACUCUCGGCUUGGGUCGACACAAGGACAGCGGUGCCCUUACCAUCCUUGCCCAAGAUGAUGUCGGAGGUCUUGAGGUAAAGAAAAAAUCAGACGGAGAAUGGGCUCGCGUCAAACCCAUCCCGAAUUCUUAUAUCAUAAAUAUCGGUGAUUGUAUUCAGGUAAUAGCUAGUUUAAGCUUUUUGGUCAAACGUUUAAUAAUUAUUAAUAUGGUAUCAAAAUCAAAUUUUCGUGUUCAGUAUAUGCUUUUUUGGUCUCAAUAAAAUAUAUUCAUAUACAAUAUCGGUUUCAUUAAAUCUAUGUAUAUGCUUUUUUGGUCUCCAUAAAAUCUAUGUAAUUGUGCAGGUAUGGAGCAAUGAUGCUUAUGAGACUGUGGAGCAUAGGGUUGUGGUGAAUUCUGAGAAGGAAAGGCUUUCAAUUCCAAUUUUAUUCAACCCAUCUCAUUACACAAUUAUGAAGCCAUUAGAUGAGCUUAUAAAUGAGCAAAACCCUGCUAAAUACAGAGCAUACAAUUGGGGAAAAUAUUUUACUUCUAGAUUGCACAGCAAUUUGAAGAAGCUUGAUGUUGAGAACCUUCAAAUUUAUCAUUUCAAGGUGCAAGAGUCAGCCAAUAAGCUGGAUGGACUACUCUCUAUUAACAAGUAAUUAAUUUAGUUAUAAAUUCACACACCUAUUGUGUUUCAUCUUCGAAUUCUACCUAUAUGUGAAUAUAUUAUGUCAUGGGAAUAAUGGAAUUUGCAAUAAUGUCAUCUGCUAGUUGGUGUCAGUGUCUCACAUUAAUAAAUAUUAUUUCCGUAAUGUGAAAUCAAUAAAUAAAGUGGUGCCUCCCACAGUUGGGGCCCUCCCCAAAAUACCUCGUGACUAAUAUCAAAAAAAAAAGUGGUGCCUAUUUUGUGGAAUCAGUAAAAAAUGUGCUGCCUAUUUGUCUCCAUUAAUAUUAAUUAUUAACCAUGUAUGUUCAUAUAAACGAUUCAACAAUGAAAGAUAGAACGUGAAGCAAGAUAUAUAAUUAAAAUGAAAUUUUUUGAUAUCAAUAUAUUUUAAGUGUGAAGCUUUGUAUGUUUGAAAAUGUACACCCUUAAUUCGAAUAAAAAUUAAGGUCAGGUGAUAAAAUUAUUGAAUAAAAAAAUUAAAAUUUUUGUCAUUACACCAACCGUGCAUCUUAAUUUCACAUUCAACCUCUCUUCUCUUUAUUUGAAGUCUCCCUUUUGAUAAACCAAUAAAAUAAACAUCCAUAUAAUAAAUUCCCACUAGAAAUUGAAUGUUUUAUUAGAUUGUCAUAAAAUCCAGCUGAUUUUGGUUUUCAACUUCUAAUAAAAUUCAGUUGAUUUUGAUGAUCAUAUCAACAAAUCCAUUGAUCAUAAUCUUUAGGCAUAAGCAAACAUGACAUUUUAGCAAUCGCCAAGGAAAUAGUGAGGAAGUGUAAUGGUGUCUCGCUAGCUGCAAAGACUUUAGGAACCUGAUGCGCUUUAAAAGCGAUUAAAACGAGUGGCUACAUGUAAAAGACAGUAAACUAUGGAACUUACCCCAGGAGAAAAUUUCCAUUUUGCCUGUCUUACGAUUGAGCUAUUCCAACUUACCAGCGGAAUUGAAACAAUGUUUUGCUUUUUGUGCUGUAUUUCCUAAACAUUCUAAAAUUAAGAAAGAGCGUCUAAUUCAUCUUUGGAUGGCUAAUGGUUUUUUUCAUCCAAGGGAACUCUUGAAGCUGAAGAUUUUGGUAAUGAGAUAUUCAAUGAAUUAUACUGGAGAUCUCUUAUUCAAGACUUUGUUCGAGACGAUGAUUCAAGAUACACUCAAAAUGAAGAUCAAACUAUUAAUCACACAGCAGAUGAUGGAUCGGUGCAGAAAAUUAUUAAUCCAGCUUAUGUUAAUUGGCAAGCUAAAGAUCAAACUCUCCUUGGCUGGUUUCUGUCAACUAUAAGUGAAGGUAUUUUGAGCUCCGUACUUAAUUGUGAUAGAUCUUAUGAUGUGUGGAAAUCUAUUGAAAAACAUUUUGGUACUCAAUCUGAGGCCAAGGUUAUGCAGCUUCGAUAUAAAAUGAGUGUACUUAGAAAAGAAUCCAUGACUGUUGAAGAAUAUUGUUUGAAAGUUAAAAUUCUUGCUGAUAAACUUACUUGUGUUGGUAGUCCUUUAUCAGAAAGAGAUUUGUUGAUGCAAGUGUUAGACGGAUUGGGACUAGUUACUUAGAUCUUGCAUCUAUCAUCACUGCUGAUAUAAUGUCAUAUGAUGAUGCUUAUGCUUUGCUCUUAACACAUGAGGCUAGAUUGGAACAUAAUCAGAUAGCUAAGUAUGUGUUUAAUGCGAAUUAUGGAAUGGUUAAUUCAAACUAUUCACUAGGAAGGGAUAGUGGCAGAAGAAGAGGUUAUGGAUGUAGUAGAUAUCAUGGACAUUUUAAUGUUGGAAACAUGAAUCACUAUGGUGGAAGAGGAAUGUUCUUUCAUGCGUAUUCCAAAGGAUUUCCCAAUGAUAAUGGUAGUUAUAACCUUGCUAGAGGAUAUUCACCACAAAUGCCAAUUCACAAGGCAUCAUCACACAACAAAUCUGUCUUCAAUAUGUCUCAUGACUCAUUUACUGAUGAAUCUAGUGACAAUGCUCUUAUUUGCCAAAUUUGCCAUAAAUCUAGUCACACUGCGGAUGCAUGUUGGCAUAGGUAUACUAAAAAUUAUAUAGCUCCAGUAAGGUCUUUUGGUAGAGUUAGAGGAUCUAAGGCUGCUUAUAUGACCAACUUUGAACCAUUUACUGAAUUUGGGCCUUAUAUUGCUGACUCUCAUGCUAUGAAUUAAUCUUCAUAUCAGCCAUCUGAUAUGAAUCCAUACUAUAUACUUGACACAUUCUCUAUAUUUGGAGUUGCUUAUAUUGCAAAUUUUGAAGGACCAGCUGAUCAAGGGUGGUACCUUGAUAGUGGAGCAACACAUCACUUGACUAAUAACGUAACUAAUAUGAACAUUAGAGAAGAAUUGAGAGGUUCUGAUCAACUUAUCAUUGGAAAUGGCCAAGGUUUGCCUAUAACACACAUUGGUGAUGCAUUCCUUACUUUUAAAAGUUCAAAUACUAAACACCAUCACCCACAAAUAGCACUUAAAGAUAUUCUACUUGUUCCUUCCAUUACAAAGAACUUGCUGAGCAUUUCUAAACUUACAUCUGAUAAUCACUUAUAUGUUGAAUUUGUUGGUAACAUCUGCUAUGUAAAGUAUUCUCUAAAGAGGCAGGUACUUCUACAAGGUCUUGCUGAGAAAGGAUUAUACAGGCUGUUACUCAAAUCUUCGCCAUCAUCAUCAUCACCAUCUUCUUUCUUAUCUUACAGUAUUCCUUCCUCUACUACUUCUCCUACACCACUAUUUAUGUUGUCAUGUUGUUAUAUCAAUUCUGCUUUUGAUGGUGUUCAACUCAAUAACUUAGAAUUGAAGUCUUGUUUUGAAUCUUCAGUUUCUUUAUGUAAACCAUCAAUUAAUAAAAUUACUUUCCGAUGUCUUCCUGCAAGCACCAAGAAUCUUAUCAAUCUAUUUUUGAACCUCCGAGGUUAUCCUGAAUUAUAAAAGCGAUGCAAGAAGAAAAUUGGUGAAAAUUGGCAUAAAAUAGCACACAUUCCAUUUGUCGAUAUGUUCUCUAUAGAGGAGAGUUCAAAUUAUUGCAUGCGUCUAUUUGAGAGGUAUGUCAAGGCCUUAUCAACUGAUCUUUCUCCUUUGGGGGGGGGGGGGGGGGGGGAGACUAAUUUUGACAUAAAAAAUAUAACUUUCUGCAUAUAAAAGAAAAUGCAGGUAACACAAUUCUUUCGAAAGGUUGUUGUGCCUCUUUAAGAGUUCCAAGUAGUUGAAUCAAGAUGCUAAACUACAUGUACGUAAGAACGCUCUUUUAUUCAUCUAUUUAUUUUCUUUUUUCAUAUGUCGAAAAGAAAAGAAAAAUGAGUGAAAUUUACACUUAUUUUACUUAUCAAAGAGUUCAUGCUGGGAAACAUAGUUUUAAGUCAGUGUUCAAGCCUACGGAGUCUCUCUGUAAAUCAUGGAUAUUGAUUGUUAGUUUUUCACUCAUUUCCACUCACUUUUACAAUUCUUUUAAUUUUCUCUGGUGUGUUUAGAAUCACUUAUCUGCCAAUGCCUUCCCAAUAAGAAAGAAAAGCCAACGUGUUGAACUGAACUACAAAUCUGGGUUUGUGGUCGUGUACGACGUGUCGGUUUUUUAGUCCAGAGAUGGGUGACAUGUCGAUUAUCUCGAAUUAGAACGCUGUAUGACAAGGCUACUCAGUCAGCCAGUUGAAUAGGUUGGGCACGUGAUGUAACACGUGCAUUACUUGCUCAAAACGGCAGAUGGAGGCAGCGUUUUUUACGAGAUUGUAACACGUGUCCAGUAGCUGUUUUAAGCGGCUGGUAAAGCUGUUAAAAGGCGCGGGAAAUUUCUGCCAGUGACGUUGUGCUGGCUUCUGGGGUUAUUUCUAGAAGCAAUCUUUUGUUGUAUAUUUAGCCUCGUGAGUUGUUAUGUGGCUAGAUCGAGAGUGUGACAGUUUCUCUAAAAAAACUUGUAUCUUGAUAAGCCAAAUCAGUGAAAGCUUGUUCUCCUUUUCACAGUAGAUGUAGGCCACAUUGUGGUUGAACCACUAUAAUCCUCUUGUGUUUGUGUGUGUGAUUGUUUCAGCAUCUUGUUGGUUCGAUUUCUGUGUUUCCAGAUUAUCGUAUCAGUUUUAUCUUCAAGUUCAUUUUGGUUAUCAAACAUUCUUAAGUUAAAGAUUUGAUUGAGUGGAUCUUAGGGGAUCAAAAUCGGUUUCUUGCUGGUUUUGGUCCAACACAAAGGAUGUGCAAACCCAGCAUAACACAGUAUCCAGUUAACACAAGAAACAUACAAGUCUCUUCCUUAUUCAUUAAACAGUGUUUGAGGGCUUUCCUCUAGUGUGUUAUAACUUUGAUAAGCACUUGUGUCAAUUUCAACCAACAUCUAAAAACUCUAAAAAAAGGCAUUUUUGGCAUUGUCUUCAAUGGUGGUUUUAAAAUUUCUUUUAAAGAGUGAAAAUAUUGUUUGUUGAUGUGAUUUUUUUAGAAUUGAGAAAGAAUUUAAUAUACAGCUUGUUUUGAAACCAAUAUCUGAAAAUGAAAACAAUAAAUCCCGUUUUCUAGUUUUCUGUAAAAAUAAAUAUUUAAUAUGUUAAAAUAAACUUGUGAAUGGGGUGUGUUUUUGCAAGUUUGGAGCAAUGAUAAAUGUCAGAGUGCAGAGCAUAAAGAGUGGUGGAGGUUCUCGCUUCCACUUUUCUUCAUCCCCUGCUCACCAUGCCUUGCUGAAGCCCUUCAACGAGCUAGUAAACGGGCUGAAUUCUGGCGAUCCAGUUCCUUGAUGUAUGAGGCACAUGCUAGAACUUCAAUAUUACUGUUAGAACUAUGCUUUGUUUUAGCAGUCAUUUACAUCAUGCCUGUAGAUUAAGAACAAGGCAUAUGGUAGAACUUCUAUAUUGUAACUGAUAGGCUCUUCCCAACAAGCUUAGCUUUCAGAUAUGGCGGUUACUUAAUGUCUGCAUUUGCUUUUCUAUAUCUGCAUGACUGCAGUCAUUUCUAUCUUGCCUAAGUAGCUUAAACUUCUGGGUAUUAGUGAUUUCUCGAUCGCUUUUAUCAUAUCUCAAUAGUCAUUUCUUGAGGUACAAAAUCGUGCCAAGUUUCAAUAGUCUUGGAGAAAAUUAAACGGUACUUGGGAAACUGAUGCUGUGUAGCCAAUUCCUUUUAUUACCAAAUGUGUACUAUUACAUUAUUCGUGGAAAAUCUAUUAAUUUAUUUAAUAUUAAUUAAUCAAUAAAUUAUUAAAUUAUGACAUUGUUAUUAUUGGAUAUGAAUAAUAUAAAAAAUAAAUCAAAAUAUCAUAAAGAUAUUGUUGUUGUUGUUGUUAUUGUUGUUGUUGUCGUCAUUGUGGUCAUUAGAAACAAUUUAUUUUAUAAUUAAAAUUGAUUUUUUCCUUUUUUAUAUUAAGUGAGUUUUCAUUUAGGCAUCAUUUGGGAUUGAGGUUAAAAUUCAAUAAGUUACUUAUUUCAAAAUUUUUAACAAAAAAAAUAUAUUUGAUAAAUUUCAUAAAAGUUGUUUAUUUUAUCAUUUUCUCCAUUUUGAUAAUAACUUUUAAAAGUAGGUAGAGUUUUGUUCCUGAGUUUUUUUUUUUUUUUUCCUUUUUUUGGUAAGUAGCUCAUUAAAUAAGUUAUGAUACAUUUUUAAAAUUCUUAUUAUAAUUUUAAUAUUUUAACAAAAAGAUAAUUAUGUCUUAUUUUUCUAUGCACUCUAAUAUAUAAACUAUUAGAUAUCAUAUCAUUGUCAUAAUCAAAUUACCGCUACUAUACGUUCUCUUCAGUAUCAAAGUUUUAUCCUAUAAAUUCAUAUUUUUUAUUAUACUUUUAUUUUUCUAUUAUAAGAAUCAAUAAGAUUUGCAUAUGAUUAUGUAAAUUUUCUUUGAACUAUGAACAAUUUCACAUAAAGGCUAAAGAUAACUUUUGAAAUUGCAAUUUCAUAACCAUGACUUUUAACGUUCAAUAUAUUUAUAUUUUUUCGAUAACCAAGGUGUUUAUUGUAAAAAGUUUAAUGUGAAUGUAAUGCAUAUUACUUCAUUUUAUUUGAAUUAUGUACUAGUAUAAAUUUUUUAUCAUUUUAUAAAGUUCAUUAUAUUUUUAUUUAAUUGAUUUUUUCACUUUAUAUAAUUUUACGUGUUUUAAAAGAAAAAUGUAUGUCUAAAUAUCACUAAACAUACUCUAAAAAAUAAAAGGUAAUUUAAAUUUAUAUAUUUUUAGUUAUUAUAUAAUAAAACAAUAUUACCAAACACAUAUACACUACUUUUUAAGCUUACAACAAUUCUAACAACACAGUUUACUAAACAAUAAACUUUUUUUUUACUCAACAAUUUAUUUUAUCCGCACAGCAGAAAAAUAACUUAUUUAAUUAGCCACCGCAAUGCCUUAUAAUAAUUUAAUUAAAUUAUAAAUGACAUGUCGUACGCUUAUACUCAGGGGUGAAAUAUGUAUGUAAUGUCAUUUAUGUGCUCAAAAUAUAAACAAAAAGUCAUAUAUUUGAUUAAUUUAUAAACUAGAUGUCAUACAUUUUUUAAUUCAAAGUAAAAUACAUACACAAUGUCAUCCAUGUUCUGAAAACAAAAACGACAUAUCAUGCUACUUAUUAAUAUUUACCAUAUGUUUACUAUGUGAUGAAGUUGUAAAUGACAUGUCAUACGUCAAUAGACAAAUAUUUAUUUUCUCUUCUUUUCUAUCUUCCAACUUAAUAGUUAAUACCAAACUAACAAAUCACUCGUUGACUGAGUGGUGAGCACCUCCUCACUUCAUUUUAAAGCAUUUCACCCUUAGACAAAAUCACUUAGAUGGUUGAUCAAGAAACUAUUAUACUAUGUGUUAAGCAAAUUAAAGAAGCAUGGAACUCUAGUCAGGAACUUUAAUUAAAAAGGUAAAACAUGAAGUGGCAUUCGCGAGCACUCAAUAUUUUCAUAGUGUGUGCUCAACCAUUAUUAGUACGUACAGCUGUCAAGAAUAUUUGCUGCACUAAAUUUCAACUGAUUACCAACGAAAAGUCCUCAAACACACCGAAUCUAUCACUAGGUGUGAAAAUUACUUAAUUAUUAAUUAAUCACGGUGAAAUAAUCGUCCCUUAAACCCUGCUUGGUGCUUUGGCUAUGUAUGUCUCUUGUCCACUAAGUGAAUCAUUGAUUCUUUCGCUGCUAUUAUUAUAUGAUCCAUUUUGUGACGCUUCAGACAAAAUUAACCACGCAAGCACAAACGUCACACAAUUUUCCAACUCUUCCCUGCCCGAAAAUCCCAUCCAGAUUCAAUGUUAUGUUGUUAACUCCCUAUCUUGCAUGGUUACAGUAAAUUUUCCUUUACCACUUAGGGUUUGGGUCAAUUAUACUUUUAGUAUCUGUAUUUUUUAAAAUUACACAAUGCGGCUUUAUGGGUAAUUCUACAAUGGUUGCUACUAAUUUUUCAAAGAUAAAAUUAUAUUAUUUUUUAAUAUAAUUUAAAAUUAAAAUAAGUCUAACAUGCAAUAGAUUAAAAAAUUAAAAAAAAAAUUAUGUAAAUUUUAUUAACUGCUGGGUAAUUAUCAAAGAUAUAGAGACUUACUACAUAAUUAGCUCAAAAGUCCUCUAGGCUGAAAGAGCCUUUAGCCCACUAUAAAUAAACUGCCUCAAUUACUCUCUUUUAUAUCAAACUAUACAUUAGAAUUUAAUACAUUGUUUCUUAGCUAUAGCCAUGGGAGAAGCUGAUGAAGCUUUCGUUCAAGCCAUAGAACACAGGCCUAAACUCUCAGUCACUGAAGAUGAAGGCAUACCCUUGAUCGAUCUCUCACCUUUGAGCUUUCCUAAUGACGCCAACACCAAAAACAUUGAUGACCUUGUGGUGGAGAUAGGUAAUGCAUGCAAGAAAUGGGGUUUUUUCCAAGUGAUCAACCAUGGAGCGCCAUUAGAAAAGAGGCAGAAAGUAGAAGAUGCUAUGAGAAAAUUCUUCGCGCAGCCAUUGGAGGAGAAAAGGAAGGUGAGGAAAGAUGAGAAGAAGGCGGUGGGCUACUAUGACAACGAGCAUACCAAAAAUGUUAGAGACUGGAAAGAAGUAUUUGAUUUUGUUGCAGAUAAGCGUAUUUUGAUGGCAGCUUCACAUGAGCCUGAGGACAAGGAAGUUCCUGAGACGUUCAAUCAAUGGCCUGAUUAUCCUCCUGAAUUAAGGUAAAGUUAACUCUUAUAUUGUGAUGGUGAAGUUUGAGUACUUAACGAUAAUUUGAUCAUUGCAAUAUAGUGGACCUAUUUCAUUUGAAUAAAUAAUUAUAUCGUUUUCAUUUGUUUCUUUAUCAUUAUUUUUCGGAACAAUAUGUUUUUCAUUUAUAUUUUUUCUUUUUAGUACAAGUUCUUAAAGGUUCAAGAGAUCUCAAAUCAAGAGAUAAAUAUUCUAAUCCUUUAGUACAAGCAUCUAAAAGAGUUUUUCCUUUUUUAGCCAUCUAAUUGACAUUUUGAUUACUAUCUUUGUGUUAUCGAAUUUAAUAAGCUUGAGAGUAAUUAGCAAAUCUAAAUUGGUGACGUGAAUUUUCACAUGGUUGGAGAGAACUCACAAUAUAGUCCAUAAGAGGUACUCAUUGACAAGGUAAACAACCAUAAGAAGCUGAUUCGUACGUGUUAAAUACCACUCAAAUGGUUAUAAUUGGUUGUUGGUCAGUAUGAGAACUUGUAAUCUUUUGGAGCCACCGUAUAUACUUUGAUUAAUGCAAAAGUUUAAUUUUGCAAGAAAAGAUUCAAUGAUAGGACUUUAGUUAUGAAUUUAUCUUUGGUAUGCUUGACAGAGAGUCAUGUGAAGAAUAUGCUAGAGAAGUGGAAAAACUUGCUUACAAGUUGAUGGAACUUAUAGCCCUAAGCCUGGGACUCCCAGCAAGCAGGUUCAGUAGCUUCUUCGAAGAUCCAACCAGAUCUGUUAGACUUAAUCACUAUCCGCCAUGCCCAGCUCCUCACCUAGCUCUAGGUGUGGGUCGACACAAGGACGUCGGUGCCCUUACCAUCCUUGCUCAAGAUGAUGUUGGCGGUCUUGAGGUGAAGAGAAAAUCAGAUGGAGAGUGGGUUCGCAUCAAACCCACCUCGGAUGCUUAUAUCAUAAAUGUUGGUGACAUUCUUCAGGUAAUUCGUAAUAGCUAGCUUAAGUUUUUUGUUCAAACGGUUAAUAAUUAGUAAUAUGGUGUCAAAAAUCAAAAUUUCGUAUUCGAUACUCGUUUUUUUUUUAAUGCCAAUAGAAUCUACGUAAUUGUGCAGGUAUGGAGCAAUGAUGUUUAUGAGAGUGUAGAGCAUAGGGUUACGGUGAAUUCUGAGAAGGAAAGAUUUUCAAUUCCAUUUUUCUUCAGCCCACCACAUUGCACAAUGGUGAAACCAUUAGGCGAGCUUACGAAUGAGCAAAAUCCUGCUAAAUACAGAGCAUACAAUUUGGGAAAAUUUUUAGCCACUAGAAGGCAAAGUAAUUUCAAAAAGCUUGAUGUUGAGAACAUUCAAAUUUCUCAUUUCAAGGUACAAGAGUUAGCUAACGAGUUGGAUGGAGCACUCUCUAUUAACAAGAAGUAAUUAAUUUUAAUUUGCUUUUUAGUUAGCGAAAUUACAUAUGUACUUAUGUAGUGUGUUUCAUCUUUGAAUUGAUCAACCUAUCUGUGAAUAUAUUAUGCGAUGGAAAUAAUGGAAUUUGCAAUAAUGCCAUCUGCUAGUUGUUGAAUUAAUAUUGUUUUUUUGGGUUGGAUAGUUCCUCUAGUUUUGGGAAAUCAAUCCCAUGAUUCUUGCUAAUACAAUAUAUCUGGUGCUCAUAUGUCUUCAUCCAUGUUCUGGUAAUAAAAACGACACAUCCUAUAAUUUUUAUAGAUAUUUACGACAAAUCAACCACUUGCUGAACUAGUAAACAACGGGUCACGCACCAACAAAGUGUUGGCUCCACUGGCAAUGGAGUCCCCUUAAGUGGCUUGACUGGGUUUGCUCCCCAGUUCGAGUCGCAGGGAAGUCGCCUUUGUUGGGAGAACCUGUGCCUCCCGGUUCGAGCGGGGACUUCUAGUCUGGGUUGUGGUACGGGCUUAAAGGUGCCUCCCACAGUUGGGGCCCUCCCCAGGAUACCUCGUGAUUAAUAUAAAAAAAAACAACGGGUCACGCAUCAAUUAAAUUUUUACUUAAUGUCAAUUUUUUCAUGUACUGAAUUACCUUUUUUUUUUUAUUACAUGAGACUAUUGCUCAGAUUACAACUCAUAUACAUGAGAUUAUUACUGAUAUUUACAAAUCAGACUAUUACUGGGACCAACUGACAUCAAUGCUGGAGCUCUGCCCAGAUUUUAACCCUCACAAAUAUUCGAGGGAUGUCUACUCCUCACUCAUGGGUAAGGGAGAAGACUACCUUCACUCAAAUUAAUUGAGGAAGAAAAUACCCCCACAAUACUUUUGUGGGGGUUCGAACUGCUGCCCUCUAAGUUGGAGGGCAGCAGCCCUGGCCACUCGGGCUGCUGCCCGAGUGGUUAUGUACUGAAUUACCUAGGUCUUAAUUAAGGAGUUAAAAAAAAAAAAAAAAACAUUGGGCUCAACCAGAUGGUCGGAGGGCCAGCUAGGGUUCUAAUUUUGCAGGCCCGUGCUUGUAUUAAAAAAUUGGAUCGCAGUUCAAGGCCCAAUUAUUAAUCUUAAUUUUUAAUUUUAUUUUUCUAAUACAUAUGUUUUUAAUGUAAGGGGUGUGUUUUGCAUUGUAUUACAUUGUAUUAUAUUAAUCUGUAAUGUAAUAUUAUACUUAGUGUAGUACGGAUUAUAUUACUUAAAAUAAUAAAAUUUAUUUUAAUUUAAUAUUGUUGUUCAAUUAAAAUUUUACGAUUCAUUUGUAUUUUAUUACUAUUUAUAUUGAAUAAUAAUUUAAAUUUAUAUAAUUAAAAUAAACAAUUUUCACUGCCAGUCACCCUAAACUGUGGCCGGCUGCUAUGGGCCAUACUUUAGUGUUAUUUGAACUAUAUUUUGGUAUCAUUAAAAUUCUUAUUAUUGGGACUCGCAAUGGUGCAAUUAUUACUUAAAAGGAAAUUUUCAUUUGCCAUAGAUCUAUAUUCAAAGUCUCGGUUUUUUUUAUUAUAUUGUAAAUUUACGUCGAAUGGAAGCUUUUCUACUAAUAAUAAUUGCACCAUAGUGGGUCUCGACAAUAAAAAUUCUAAUAUUACCAAAUUUUUGUGUAAAACACGAUGUUAUGUGGUGGCCACAGGUAGUCGGUAGCCGUUGAACUGUCGCUGACAGUUCAUUAGCACUAGCCGCGACAUAUUUAAGUUUUUAAUUUUAUUUAGUAUUAUGUAUUUUUAUUCAUUUUUAUUAUUUUAAUUAAAGAAACUCAAAACAAAAAAGCUAAUGUGAAUAGUGCCAUAUCACACAAACUCGAUCCCUCCUUAUGCUCAUUUUAAUAUGCAACUCUUAGAAUAUAAUUAGGCCAUUGUACUUUUUAGGAUUAUAAUAUUUAUGGAAUAAAUCAUUUAAUACAAUGCCGAUCAUUUGUAUAAGAAUUUCCAUGCGAGCUAAAAGAAGCUUUUGUUUUGUCUAAGCAUCAAAGCAUCAUUUCUUCCAAAAACACUAGGAAACAAGCCAAAUCACUCAUCUCACAAGCAACAACUUCUUUUUGCAUUGUAGAUAAACUGCUAAAAGAGACUUUGGCUCAAUAUUUUCACAUUCCAUUAAUAUAUUUCUGACGGUACAAGAAUAUUUUAGGAAUUUCAAGAUAUUCAAUACUUUAAGAAUUUUACAAGUUAUAUUAUACAUUUAUAAUUUUAUCAAUUAAUUAUCUUGAAUGUAUAAAAUAAUCAUUUGAUUAAAGUAAAAUUUCUUUGUAUAUAAUUAAUUUUAUAUUUUUUUAAUUUAGAAGGUUAAAUUACACUUAUACAGUUUAGGGAUAAAAUAAACUUUUGUAAUAAAAAAAUUUAUUAGCUUUAACGGUUUAGUAGUAAAAUGAUAAAAUUGAAACAUUAAGUGGGAAAAAUUAAAUAUUAGAAAACUUUGAUGGUAAAGUGAUAUAACAAAAAACAUUAGCGGAUAAAAUGAUAACAUAAUAAUAGGUGGUAAAAAGAUAAUAUCCCAUAUUUCUAUUUAAAAAAAUAAAAAUUAGAGUUUCAUUUGAACUCUACUAUAUUCACAAGUUAAAUUUUUAUAUAUUUGGAUCCGUUUAGAAUUUAGAUGCUUUCGAACUUUAGACUAGAGGAAAAAAAAGGACAUGCAAUAAAAAAGAAUGUAAAUAAAUAAAUUAAUUAAAAACAAGCUGACGUGUAAAUGGUAUCGUGUCCAAAUUGAAUUAUUAAUGUUUUCCAGACUCCAUACAUGAUGCAUAUUGUGACCUUUUUUUUUUGGGAUGCAUUAUUAAUGUUCUGGUGGAUGAAUAUUGAUUUUUGAAUUGGAUGACUCCUCUGCUUCUGGGAAACCAAUUCAAUGAUUCUUGCUAAUACGCUGUGGUGAAUACUUGUCUUUAUAACUUAUUAAUUACAUAUGUUCAGAUAAAGGAUUCAAUGAUGAAAUUAAGAUGAACGUGAAGCAAGUAAUUUACAUCAUUUUGAUGUAACAGAGGAACUUUAUGGACUCAGGAUCUUUGAUAACAUGGGAUUAAAUUAUAAAUUUAUUGCAUACAUUUUUAUGAAAGUGAGUGCUUAUAAAAAAAAAAUACGUAUAUUAAGUAAUGCAACAUCAAAAAAUAUUAUUCUAAACAAAAUAUAUAUAAUUAAUAAAAUUAGUCUCAUAUUCAAUUAAAAUGACGGAUUACUCUUUUAAUAUUGAAGUCUAAAGGUCACUUUAUAAGAGUAAAUUAGCUUUAAAUAGUGUUUCUGCUAUUUUUAUAGAAAUAGAUUCAAGAACUUAUAUGAGAAAAUAAUAGUGGAACUUUUUGAAAGUGAAUCUGGGCACUUUUUAAAAGGCACACCCUCAACUCUUUGAUUUAGCUGAACAAAAAUUAAAGUGAGAUGACAAAAUAAUUGAAUAAAAAUUAAAACAUUUGUCAUUUCGUCAAAUAUGCAUCAUAAUUUCACAUUCAAUAUCUCCUCUCUGUUUGAGGUCCCUUUAAUAAACCAAUAAAAUAAUUAAGCAUCUGUAUAAAAGAAUUCCCGCAAUAAAUUAUUUGUUUUAAUAGCUUUAAUCUCUAAAAUAAAUGAGGAAAAAUCCUAGUAGGCUGGCCAAAAUUUGUCACUACAUAUGAGAAAGCUCAGAAAUUUCAAGAAGCUUUAAUGUUGAGACCUUCAAAUCCAUCGCAAAACAGCUAAAGGAAUUAACAGUCUCCAUCAACAAAUAGUAUGUAUGUAUAUAUGUAUGUAUAUAUGUAUGUACGCAUGUGUAUGUACAUUAUACGGAAUAAAACUAAUUUUUUUAAGAAUAUUAUCAUCUUACUACUUAAUUGGUUUUUGACAAUUACUCAUCUCACUUGAUGUUUCAAUUUUUAUCAUUUUUCCACUAAAUUGUUAAAUUCAUUAAUAAAUUACUAGUGUCACAAGAAUAUAUUAGGAAUUUCAUUAUAUUCAAUAUUUUAAGAAUUUUACAAAGUUCAGUAUUUAUAACUUUAUCAACUAAUUAUUUUAAAUGUAUAAAAUAAUCAAUUGAUAAAAGUAUAAUUUCUUUGUAUAUAAUUAAUUUUUUUUUAAUUUAGAGAGUUGAAUUACAUUUACAUAGUUUGUGGAUAAAAUAAACUUUUAUUAUAAAUUUUGUCAAAAAUUUUAUUAAUUUUAGCGGUUUUGUAGUAAAAUGAUAAAAUUGAAACAUAAAAUAAAAAAUUAAUUAUAAAAAAACUUUGAUGAUAAAGUGAUAUGUUAGAAGACAUUAAGUAAUUAAAUUAUAAUAUAAAUAUAUAAUAGUGGGUGGUAAAAUGACAAUAUUCUAUAUUUUAAUGUAAAAAUUAGCGUUUCAUGAACUCUACUAUAUUCAGAAGUUAACUUUAUAUAUUUGGAUCCUAGAAUUUUAGACGCAUUCAAAUUUUAGAUUAGAGAAGGAGAGAGAGGGGCAAGCAACAAAAAAGAAUGCAAAUAAAUAAAUAAAGAGUUCUGCUAUUGGAAUUCUGCGACGACAAAGGGACGACAGAAACGUGGGUGGGUCCCUUUGUCUGUUACUUCAUCUGCAGUCACCAUCUCUCUUUGUCUGUUACUUUUUUGAUUUAAAAAAUAAAAUAAUCAAAAGAAAGAAACAAAAGUAACGAAAGAGAUGACUUUUUUACAAUUAAUUUUUCUUGUUGUCCCCUCUCUCUCCAUCUCUCACCUCUCAUUUACUCAACGUGAGCUAUCUGCAUUUAGGAAGGAAAAACCAGUUCCCUCUUUGCAUUUGCAUCUCCGGUAACAAGAAGUGGACGUCGUCCGGUAACGAAGCAAAUGGGGCUGGGCGAGAAAAAAAAAAAAAGAAGGGGCUCAGCGAGAACAAGAAGCGGCUGUCGUCCAGGGAGAGUCCGGUAACGAAGCAAAUGGAGGGGGAGUAAAAUGAGUGGAGGGGGAGUAAACUAAGCAAAGAAAAAUAAGUGGUUGGGGCGGGGGAGAAAUGACCAACUUUCCAUUCCUUUUUUCUUUAUUUUAAUUUUUCUUGUGGGUCCACGCAAGAUUAAAAGAAACAGAACUCAACGCGUGAAACGGCAAUUGAACGCUGCAUUUCUGUCGUCCUUUUGUCUUCUUUGAGCUCGUUUAUCAUUUUCCAUAAAUAAAUUGCAAACGAGCUGACGUGUCAAUGAUAUCGUAUCCAAAUUGAAUUGUUAAUGUUUUCCAGAUUCCAUAUAUUAUACAUAUUUUGACGUUUUUUUUUUUUCUUGGACACAUUAUUCAGGCAAUGCAAUGCAAGCACAAACGUCACAUAUAUCCUCCAAUCCCUCACCUGCCCCAAAUCCAGUCUAGAUUCAAUCUUAUGUUAUCUCCAUAUCUUCACCCCAUAAAUAAAUAUCAAGAACCACUUUUACCUCAUCAGUAGUGAAUCAAUCACCUGCAGCUGGCCAGCCAUGGGAGAAGUUGAUGAAGCUUUCGUUCAAGCCCUUGAGCACAGGCCUAAACUCUCCGUAACCGAAGCCGAAGGCAUACCCUUAAUUGAUCUCUCAGCUUUGAGCGCCACCAACACCAGUAUUAAAAACCCUGACAGUACCAUUCGUGACCUGGUUGUGGAAAUAGGCAAUGCAUGCAAGAACUGGGGGUUUUUUCAGGUGAUCAACCACGGCGUGCCCACGGAUAAGCGCCGGAGCAUAGAAAAUAUGGCGAGGAAGUUUUUCGAGCAGCCGUUGGAGGAGAAGAGGAAGGUGAGGAGAGAUGAGAAGAAGGUGGUGGGGUAUUAUGACACCGAGCAUACCAAAAAUGUUAGAGAUUGGAAAGAAGUGUUUGAUUUUGUCGUGGAGAGCCCUUGUUUGAUGCCAGCUUCACCUGAUCCUGAGGACAAGGAAAUAGCUGAGACGUACAAUCAGUGGCCUGAUUAUCCUCCUGAAUUCAGGUAAAGUUCAUUUCUUACAUUGUGAUGGUGAAAUUAAUUUUAAUACUUGAGUACUAUGACUUGGAGAGAAUUCUAAAUUUAAAAGAGAAUUCUGAUCCUUUAAUAUGCAAGUCAAUCGAAAGAGAGUUUGUACUUUUUUUAAAACACCUAAUGGGCAUUUUAAUUAGUGUCUUUGUGCUAUCGAAUUUAAUAAGCUUCAAAGUUAAGAAAAUCUAAAUUGGUGACCUGAAUUUUCUCAUGGUGGAGGAUAGUCACAAUAUAUAGUCCAUAAGAGGUAUUUGUCGGCAAAAUAAACUACCAUAAGCAGUUGAGUAGUGUUGAGUACCACUCAAAUAAUUUUAAUUGGUUGUUGGUCAAUUUGAAAGCUCGUAAUAAUAUUUUGGAGCCAAGCAUGCUCUGAUUAAUGCAAAAUUUAAUGUAGCAAUUAUAGUAUUCAUUUAUUUAUUUACUUUUGGC
rnacentral:lncRNA from 1 species